rnacentral:rRNA from 1 species
AUUGAACGCUGGCGGCAUGCCUUACACAUGCAAGUCGAACGGUAACGGGUCCUUCGGGAUGCCGACGAGUGGCGAACGGGUGAGUAAUAUAUCGGAACGUGCCCAGUAGUGGGGGAUAACUGCUCGAAAGAGCAGCUAAUACCGCAUACGACCUGGGGGUGAAAGGGGGGGAUCGCAAGACCUCUCGCUAUUGGAGCGGCCGAUAUCAGAUUAGCUAGUUGGUGGGGUAAAGGCCUACCAAGGCAACGAUCUGUAGUUGGUCUGAGAGGACGACCCGCCACACUGGGACUGAGACACGGCCCAGACUCCUACGGGAGGCAGCAGUGGGGAAUUUUGGACAAUGGGCGCAAGCCUGAUCCAGCAAUGCCGCGUGCAGGAAGAAGGCCUUCGGGUUGUAAACUGCUUUUGUCGGGGAAGAAAUCUUCUGGGCUAAUACCCCGGGAGGAUGACGGUACCUGAAGAAUAAGCACCGGCUAACUACGUGCCAGCCGCCGCCGUAA